rnacentral:rRNA from 1 species
UACGAAGGGGGCUAGCGUUGUUCGGAAUUACUGGGCGUAAAGCGCACGUAGGCGGAUAUUUAAGUCAGGGGUGAAAUCCCGGGGCUCAACCCCGGAACUGCCUUUGAUACUGGGUAUCUCGAGUCCGAGAGAGGUGAGUGGAAUUCCGAGUGUAGAGGUGAAAUUCGUAGAUAUUCGGAGGAACACCAGUGGCGAAGGCGACUCACUGGACACAUAUUGACGCUGAGGUGCGAAAGCGUGGGGAGCAAACAGG